rnacentral:rRNA from 1 species
AUAUGCCAUUGAGUGGGGGACAACAGUUGGAAACGACUGCUAAUACCGCAUAACGUCUACGGACCAAAGGGGGGGAUCUUCGGACCUCUCGCUCAUUGAUUAGCCCAAGUGAGAUUAGCUAGUUGGUAAGGUAAUGGCUUACCAAGGCGACGAUCUCUAGCUGGUUUGAGAGGAUGAUCAGCCACACUGGGACUGAGACACGGCCCAGACUCCUACGGGAGGCAGCAGUGGGGAAUAUUGCACAAUGGGCGAAAGCCUGAUGCAGCCAUGCCGCGUGUGUGAAGAAGGCCUUCGGGUUGUAAAGCACUUCCAGUCAGGAGGAAAGGGUGUGUUUUAAUAGAGCAUAUCUGUGACGUUACUGACAGAAGAAGCACCGGCUAACUCCGUGCCAGCAGCCGCGGUAAUACGGAGGGUGCGAGCGUUAAUCGGAAUUACUGGGCGUAAAGCGUACGCAGGCGGUUUGUUAAGCGAGAUGUGAAAGCCCCGGGCUCAACCUGGGAACUGCAUUUCGAACUGGCAAACUAGAGUGUGAUAGAGGGUGGUAGAAUUUCAGGUGUAGCGGUGAAAUGCGUAGAGAUCUGAAGGAAUACCGAUGGCGAAGGCAGCCACCUGGGUCAACACUGACGCUCAUGUACGAAAGCGUGGGGAGCAAACAG